rnacentral:lncRNA from 1 species
GCUGUUGUGUCAUGUCUCUAUCUCUCAAUUCAUGGACUAAGAACAGCUCUCCACCCUCACUGCUCCUCCAGAGCUCAGUGUUUCGUCCCUUCAGUUUUGUCCUGUUGUGCUGACAUCCCCUCCCCAGCUGGCAGAGCAGAGUGGGAUGUCUCCAGCUGGUUGUCAAGGGAAGAACCUGAACUGUGUGGAACAAAGGAGGAUCUGCUUGUCUCAACAGAAAAUGGCAGGACCUGCAUUAAGCACUUUACUGUCCUGCAAGGAAGGCUGGAUUUACCUCAAGCUAAAGCACAGCUCAGCCAUUCAAUUACAUACCAGAAACAGUCAGAGGCCUGAAGAAC